CUUUGGCCAUUGUGAUGUAGUCAUCUGUGAUGCCAGUAGUCCCUCUGGCGGCCCCUGUAGUGGACAAUGUGUGAAUCAGGACAACCCGAAAAGAGGUCAACGACAUGUCAAAGACCUCUCUGAGGAGCAUCAUUUAUAUGUUUCUUCUGGAUACAUUCUUUGGGUGUAAUGUCUUGUUCUAACAUGUCAAAUAAAGUGUUCUAUAUAAAACAA